AUAGAUUGAUACACCAGGUCAGACAUUAAUAGAGAUCAAACUAAUAGCCAAAGAUCGAUAUACCAGGUCAGAACAAUAACAAGACAUUAUAACCAGCACCAAAUGAUGAGAUCGCAGGUGCUACCAAGUGCUACUGCAACCAUCCAAAAUGACACGUUCUACUAGUAGCACCGAAGUAAGAAGAGCUAAGAACAAAAGACAUGCUCUGAAUCCAGCAAUCAUGCUGCUCACCGGAGAGCCAAUCUGUGUAGCCUGCCAUCCGAGGCCGCCGCCCCGGCAUCUAAGACCUCCGGCAAGGUUGCACCUUGGCACAUACAUCAGUGACAUAGAGCUGGACCGCCAUCGGUGCACGUGACGAGGGAGGCCCGGCAUCAAGGGCCUGACCCCGACUAGAUCUAGCCCACAGACUGAAUAUGCGGCCAAGGAUGGAGCUCGCCGGCGACACCCUGCAGCAUGCGUACGGGCCACAUGCCAGUACACUGCCCUGAAGCCGCGCUGCCGCGUGUCACACAGUCAAGACAGCUGACCUCCACGGGCCAGAUCUGGCCUAGGGCACACCAUCAAGGUCCAUCACCCCUUGUCCCCGGAGCCCCCCAUCGGAAUUCCGCCAUCCCGGGCAGCCGCCCGUCGGUUACCAGGGCAACGAACUAACCCUAAAAAACAUCAGGGCAUUGCUACCCGUGGAGGCAGACCAACGAGGAGGAUGGCUCGCGCCGCUCAAAGCCAUGGAUGGUUCAUGGUACAGGCGCUGGGGAGCCCGGAGAACAGCCCCGUGCCGCCGCCGUCGGCCACGCGCACUUCUCAAGCCAUGGAGGGUGCAUGGUUUUUUUUUUUGAAAACGGGCAAAAGAUUUGCCACGUAUAUUAAUUAAGAGAGAAUAGAGUUUGUGUUACAAACACCCCUUAACAAUACACGGAAGAAUCACUCUCCCGGCAUGAUGGACCCUAGCUUCUUAGCUCCGGCGGCGACCCAAAAUGAUGCCUCCCUUUUGAUGUUGUCGAGAAGAACCAUAGGCGGGGCUGCCAUGUUGCGGAAUACACGAGCGUUUCGCUCGUUCCAGAUCGUCCAUGUAGUGAGCAUGGUGAGCGAGGCCAUGGCCUUCCGGUUGGGGACGGAAGCAUCAGUCAACCCAAGCCACCAUUCUAAGGUGGAAUGCCUCACGGGCCAAGUAGAGGUGUCAAUGUGAAUGAGUUGCAGCCACGCCUUGACCGAGCCCCAUAGGCGAAUGGUGAAACGACAUUUGAAGAAGAGAUGGUCAACCGAUUCAUUCUCACGCAUGCAUAAGGGGCAUGAGCCACAGUUAGGCCAACCGUGCUUGGCCAAACGAUACGCAGUCCAGACUCUAUUUUGGAUGGCCAGCCAAGCAAAGAACUUGACCUUGGGUGGAGCCCAGAUUUUCCACACUGCAUGCUCCAAGGGUGCAUGGUUUUCUUCCAAACAGAAACCGAACUUUCCAAGUUCCUACCGCUUGUCUCAGUUGGCGGUGCCUCCAUGUCUUUGUCGUCUCAUCUCUCCGGCAACUGUACAGGUACCACGUAGAGAACCACACAGUAAAAAAAUUAUCUGAGAUUAACUAAUUUCUAGGCUGGUUAAAAAUUAGCAACCCUGAAGUAAAAUUAUUUUGUGGAUGUUUCGUAUAACUGCAUGUGAUUAGGCGGAUUCUGGGAUUGGGCAGACAUUCAAAACACCUACUAGCAAGUAUAACACCGACUAGAUAAAAGCAUCCAAGACGAGCGUGCAACAGAAAGGAUGAACUUUCUUGAAACAGGUUUUCGCCCCGCUUUAUAUACAAAGCAACAACAGAAAUAAUUAACUUGAUGGUGUUCUAUGCAAGGCAAGUGAUCAAAUUCAAUUGCUCUGCAUUUUACAGAUAGACACGUGAUCCAUAGUCCUGCUACUGUUCGUAUAGUUGACAUCAUGUUUGUAAAACGAGAGAAAUUUCUAGCAUUAAAAUUCGAGCUUGCUAGGUGUUCAAUCCGAUAAUUUGCAGACUCCCAGAUGUAAUAAUCGUGAAACCAAAACCUGUUUCAUAUCAUCACAUAAAAGGAAAUGUGGCCACUCUUAAAUCAACCAACACUGACAACAUGUAAUUAAGUUGCAAAUGUGUCAUCUAGAACUAGCAUAUUUAUCUUCCUCCAGGAGGGCACACCUGCAACAAGUUCCUGUCUACCCAAAAAAUAUAAAAUCCUGGAGAAAAAACAGCAGGAAACAAAGGCUAGUUGUUCAGUUCAGUCCGGCGCUCGGCGAAGCUCGGCGAAACUAACGUUGUGUAAUUUAGUUACAAAACUUUUAUCUGGAGAAAGAUGAACAAAGUAUCAGCAUACUUGGUGCUCGUUUCUACUAAAAAACGUAAAACAAGUUCAAAGGAACUGGCGCAAACAGGAGCAGGAAACUGAAGUAUCAAUCAGGCAAAAAACUGUUAACUGAAUGCCAUAAUACAGCGUUGACACAAAGAUCAAACUAACAGCCAACAAACACAUAGCUGUAUAUAGUAAUAAUAAGUUUUGAUACCAUAGAUUGAUACACCAGGUCAGACAUUAACAGAGAUCAAACUAAUAGCCAAAGAUCCAUAUAUCAGGUCAGAACAUUACCAAGACAUCAUAACCAGCAUCAAAUGAUGAGAUCGCAGGUGCUACUGCAACCAUCCAAAAUGACACGUGCCACUAGUAGUACCGACAAGUAAGAAGAGCUAAGAACAAAAGACAUGCUCUGAAUCCAAGGACAAAGCAAACCAGGAGUCUUGAACAUUCAUACAUGCCCUGUGGAGAACGGAGGUUCCUCAUCUUAUUUUUGCAUCUCAU
rnacentral:lncRNA from 1 species